GCGGGAUUAGUACAGUGGUAGUAUGCGUCCUUCCCAAGGAUGAGAUGCCAGUUCGAUUCUGGUAUCCCGCUCCA
rnacentral:tRNA from 3 species